AGCAGUCGCCACGGUAAUACGUAGGUCCCGAGCGUUGUCCGGAUUUAUUGGGCGUAAAGCGAGCGCAGGCGGUUAGAUAAGUCUGAAGUUAAAGGCUGUGGCUUAACCAUAGUACGCUUUGGAAACUGUUUAACUUGAGUGCAAGAGGGGAGAGUGGAAUUCCAUGUGUAGCGGUGAAAUGCGUAGAUAUAUGGAGGAACACCGGUGGCGAAAGCGGCUCUCUGGCUUGUAACUGACGCUGAGGCUCGAAAGCGUGGGGAGCAAACAGGAUUAGAUACCCGAGUAGUCCCUGUCUCUUAUACA
rnacentral:rRNA from 1 species